AAUAGGUUCACUCCCUUGGUGUUGCUGCUGCUGCGCCAAUCAAGCAGUUGAGCGACUAGGGGACUGGGCCCCUGCAGUUUUGAUUCCCUGCUUUAACUGCUACCCUGACCAGGCAAGUCAGUAAAUGCUAACUAAGACUUCUUUCACCCUCUGAACAAAUGCAUCACAUAAGUCUUCCCCCUUGCAACAAUGGACUUCAAAUGUAGCAAGAUUGAAUGAUCUACGAGCACAAAGUACCACAGCAAAAUCUAUUAGUAUAUUGUUUUUACAGAACCACUGUGUGGCAGAACAGGGUAAUUUGGUCCCCUCUAAUCAAGAAGUGUAUACAGUACACGAUCCAGCAUUUACAACACCUCCAGGCCAAGUUUUCCUCACAAGUGACAACUUUCAAUUAGUUUUAGAUGUCCACAGCUUCCACCCAAAUGAAAUAAAUGUUUGUGUUAAGGACAACUAUAUUGAAGUUACUGCACAGCACCAAGAAGAACUGAGCCAACAGUCCCAGUUAGCUGUUCAAAAGAGAUAUAAAAUGCCAUACCCAGUGAACACAGACAUGGUGCAGUGCAGUCUUUCCAAGGAUGGAAUACUUUUCGUGAUGGCACCAUGGCUGAGGACUCCAUAAGACAGUGAAGGAUGUGCAAAUAAAACACAAAUUUCCAAGUUAUAUUUAUUCAACAAUUACUUCUUAGCGGGGGCUUUCUUGGCUGGUGCCUUCUUUUCUGAAACAGGCUUUUGAAGGGUGGGCU